rnacentral:rRNA from 1 species
GACAGAGGGGGCAAGCGUUGCUCGGAAUUACUGGGCGUAAAGGGCGCGUAGGCGGGAUGGCAAGUCGGUCGUGAAAUCCCUCGGCUCAACCGAGGAACGUCGAUCGAUACUGCUGUUCUUGAGGAUUGCAGAGGAGACUGGAAUUCCCGGUGUAGCGGUGAAAUGUGUAGAGAUCGGGAGGAACACCGGUGGCGAAGGCGGGUCUCUGGGCAGUAACUGACGCUGAGGAGCGAAAGCGUGGGGAGCGAACAGG